AGAGUUUGAUCCUGGCUCAGGACGAACGCUGGCGGCAUGCCUAACACAUGCAAGUCGAACGGACGAGGAGGAGCUUGCUCCUCCGAGUUAGUGGCGGACGGGCGAGUAACGCGUGAGCAACCUGCCCUUCAGUGUGGAAUAACGUCUGGAAACGGACGCUAAUACCGCAUGACACAGCGAAGCCGCAUGGCUUUGCUGUCAAAGGAGCAAUCCGCUGAGAGAUGGGCUCGCGUCCGAUUAGCUAGAUGGUGGGGUAACGGCCCACCAUGGCGACGAUCGGUAGCCGAACUGAGAGGUUGAUCGGCCGCAUUGGGACUGAGACACGGCCCAG
rnacentral:rRNA from 1 species